AGAUGGGGUCUCGCUACAUUGACCAAGCUGGUCUCAAAAUCCUGGCCUGAAGCAAUCCUCCCGCCUCAGACUCCCAAGGUGCUGUGAUGACACGUGUGAGCCACCCCGCACAGCCCAGCUUCACCAUCUUAAGGGCACACUCCAUUAGCAUUAAGUAUAUUCUAAUGUUGUGCAAACAUCACCACAAUCCAUUUCCAGAACUCUUUUCCUCUUAUAAAACUGAAACUCUGAGCCUAUUAAACAACUCCCCACUCCCCUCCCCAAGCCCUUGGCACCACCAUUCCACUUUCUGUCUCUGAAUCUGGCCACUCCCGGCACCUCAUAUGAGUGGAAUCGGGCAGUGUUUGUCUUUUGUGUCUGGCGUAUUUCACUUAGCAUGAUAUCCUCCAGGUUCAUUCAUGACCUUCAGAGUUUCCUUCCUUCUUAGGGAUCUGGCAGCCUUGGCCCAAGCAAUCCCAGUGGGCGCAUCUUGGGAGCUGACUUUGGGGCCACCUUUCCCCAUGCUGCCUGGGGACCAGAGAACACUGACCGCGGGAAAGACCGAUGCUGCCGAGGCCAGGAGGAGGGGGAGGCCGUCAUCUGUGGGUCCCCAGCAGCGCUUGGGGUCCUGGCCACUCCAGCGGCCCCUUGCACCUGCCUCCAGGGAUCCUUUGUCUUCAAAAUAACCUCCCUCCACCUUCCGGCUCAUAGUGCCUUGGGUGGAUCUGUUCCCAUUUCCCACAAGCCUGCAGGGUGGUGACAGGCCCUCAUUCCCAUGUGCCCCAAGAUUUCGGAUUCCAAAAAUACAUCCCCUGGCUCCCCGGAGAAGUGUGUCACGGUGUCUCCGUUUCACCACUGACAGGGCCAAAGGAUGUGCUCUCCUCUCCCGAGCUGCCAUGGUCAAGGCAAGCCAGGACUCACCUCAGGCUGGCCCAGCCCCUCACCCCACACUGGCUCUGGGGGCCACGGCUGGCGAAGCCUCUGCGGUAGUUGGGGAUCAGGCAGGCCGAGGGUCUGGCCUGUGCCGAGACCUGCACAGCUGGGUCAGCGGCUGCCUCUGUAUUCAUUUCCUGAGGCUGCUGUGACAAGUCACCACAUACCUGGUGGCUGAAAACAACACAUUUACUCCGCUCGCAGUUCUGGAGCCCAGAAGUGCAGUGUCACGGGGGUGAAGGCGAGGCGUCGGGGGCCGCUCCUCCUCCAGAGGCUGGGCCUUCCCAGGAGCUUAUCCACUCCUGGCCUCUCCCUGCUUAUGGGGGCUGCCAGGG
rnacentral:lncRNA from 1 species